AUUGAACGCUGGCGGCAGGCCUAACACAUGCAAGUCGAACGAGCGUCGGACGGGUGAGUAAUGUAUGGGGACCCUGCGAUAGGGAGGGAUAACUCCUGGAAACGCUAUCUAUUACCGCGUACUCUCUGAUUAACCACAUGGGAUUAGCUAGUUGGUGAGGUAAUGGCUCACCAAGGCGCCGAUCCCUAGCUGGUCUGAGAGGAUGAUCAGCCACACUGGGACUGAGACACGGCCCAGACUCCUACGGAGGCAGCAGUGGGGAAUAUUGGACAAUGGGCGCAAGCCUGAUGCAGCCAUGCCGCGUGUAUGAAGAAGGCCUUAGGGUUGUAAAGUACUUUCAGUCGGGAGGCGUUACCGACAGAAGAAGCACCGGCUAACUCCGUGCCAGCAGCCGCGGUAAUUC
rnacentral:rRNA from 1 species